rnacentral:rRNA from 1 species
AUUGAACGCUGGCGGCAUGCUUUACACAUGCAAGUCGAACGGCAGCACAGCAGAGGUAACUCUGUGGGUGGCGAGUGGCGAACGGGUGAGUAAUACAUCGGAACGUACCCUGUUGUGGGGGAUAACUACGCGAAAGCGUAGCUAAUACCGCAUACGCCCUGAGGGGGAAAGCGGGGGACCCUAAAUAGAGCGCACUGGGGAGUGCGUUGUAUUUAGGGCCUCGCGCAAUAGGAGCGGCCGAUGUCGGAUUAGCUAGUUGGUGAGGUAAAGGCUUACCAAGGCGACGAUCCGUAGCUGGUCUGAGAGGAUGAUCAGCCACACUGGGACUGAGACACGGCCCAGACUCCUACGGGAGGCAGCAGUAGGGAAUAUUGGACAAUGGGCGCAAGCCUGAUCCAGCCAUGCCGCGUGAGUGAAGAAGGCCCUCGGGUUGUAAAGGCUCUUUUGUCCGGAAAGAAAAGCGCCGGGGUUAAAUACCCUGGGUGUCCGUGACGGUACCGGAAGAAUAAG